rnacentral:rRNA from 1 species
UACGUAGGGGGCAAGCGUUAUCCGGAAUCACUGGGCGUAAAGGGUGCGUAGGUGGUUCUUCAAGUCAGAAGUGAAAGGCAGUGGCUUAACCACUGUAAGCUUUUGAAACUGAGGAACUUGAGUGCAGGAGAGGUAAGUGGAAUUCCUAGUGUAGCGGUGAAAUGCGUAGAUAUUAGGAGGAACACCAGUGGCGAAGGCGACUUACUGGACUGUUACUGACACUGAGGCACGAAAGCGUGGGGAGCAAACAGG